AAGGGAGACCUAAUUCCGGUAGGAGACGAAAAAAAAGUAGUCCCUACCAAGAAUCAAUCCCAAAAGGUCGAAGCGAGGCAAGAUUGGCUUUCAAACUAGGUUCUGGGUUCAAACAAGACCUGAAUCAGGAACAAGGGCUAUUAGCUCAGGUGGUUAGAGCGCACCCCUGAUAAGGGUGAGGUCCCUGGUUCGAGUCCAGGAUGGCCCACCUGCACAGGUGGCAAAAACAAAGAAGCGAGGAAUCAGCACCUUAUCUUACUCAUAUAGUAAGAGAGAAUGCUGGCUCUGGGUAAAGAGUCCAGAGGAACCUUGAAAACUGCAUAGAGCUAGGUGAAAAAGCCAAAAAAGAAGACCGCAA
rnacentral:tRNA from 1 species